UGGUUGUCGUCAGCUCGUGUCGUGAGAUGUUGGGUUAAGUCCCGCAACGAGCGCAACCCUUGAUCUUAGUUGCCAGCAUUCAGUUGGGCACUCUAAGGUGACUGCCGGUGACAAACCGGAGGAAGGUGGGGAUGACGUCAAAUCAUCAUGCCCCUUAUGACCUGGGCUACACACGUGCUACAAUGGACAAUACAAAGGGUUGCGAGACCGCGAGGUGGAGCGAAUCCCAUAAAAUUGUUCUCAGUUCGGAUUGCAGGCUGCAACUCGCCUGCAUGAAGCCGGAAUCGCUAGUAAUCGCGGAUCAA
rnacentral:rRNA from 1 species